rnacentral:rRNA from 1 species
UACGUAGGGACCAAGCGUUGUUCGGAUUUACUGGGCGUAAAGGGCGCGUAGGCGGCGCGGUAAGUCACUUGUGAAAUCUCUGAGCUUAACUCAGAACGGCCAAGUGAUACUGCAGUGCUAGAGUGUGGAAGGGGCAAUCGGAAUUCUUGGUGUAGCGGUGAAAUGCGUAGAGAUCCGGAAGAACACCGGUGGCGAAGGCGGCCCGCUGGGCAGGAAGGGGGAGCAAUCCUCCGGCGUGACACUGAGGCGCGACAGCGUGGGGGAGCAAACAGG